AGAGUUUGAUCAUGGCUCAGAUUGAACGCUGGCGGAAUGCUUUACACAUGCAAGUCGAACGAUGAACCUUAGCUUGCUAAGGGGAUUAGUGGCGAACGGGUGAGUAAUAUAUCGGAACGUGCCUUGUAAUGGGGGAUAACUAGUCGAAAGAUUAGCUAAUACCGCAUACGCCCUGAGGGGGAAAGUAGGGGAUCUUCGGACCUUACGUUAUAAGAGCGGCCGAUAUCUGAUUAGCUAGUUGGUGGGGUAAUGGCCUACCAAGGCUUCGAUCAGUAGCUGGUCUGAGAGGACGACCAGCCACACUGGAACUGAGACACGGUCCAGACUCCUACGGGAGGCAGCAGUGGGGAAUUUUGGACAAUGGGCGCAAGCCUGAUCCAGCCAUUCCGCGUGAGUGAAGAAGGCCUUCGGGUUGUAAAGCUCUUUCGCAAGGGAAGAAAACUUACUUUCUAAUAAAGAGUGAGGCUGACGGUACCUUGAUAAGAAGCACCGGCUAACUACGUGCCAGCAGCCGCGGUAAUACGUAGGGUGCGAGCGUUAAUCGGAAUUACUGGGCGUAAAGCGUGCGCAGGCGGUUUGGCAAGUCAGAUGUGAAAUCCCCGAGCUCAACUUGGGAACUGCGUUUGAAACUGCCAGACUAGAAUAUGUCAGAGGGGGGUAGAAUUCCACGUGUAGCAGUGAAAUGCGUAGAGAUGUGGAGG
rnacentral:rRNA from 1 species